AGAGAGAGACAUGCGCGCAUAUCAAUAAGCGGAGGAAAAGAAACUAACAAGGAUUCCCUUAGUAACGGCGAGUGAAGCGGGAAGAGCUCAAAUUUGAAAUCUUCAGGGUUUUACCUUGACGAAUUGUAGUUUAAAGAAGUGUUUUCUGCUGAAGUUUUGGUAAAAGUUCUUUGGAAUAGGACAUCAUAGAGGGUGAGAAUCCCGUAUUUGACCAUUAUUUUCAGCUUUGUGAUACACUUUCAAAGAGUCGGAUUGUUUGGGAAUGCAGUCCAAAAUGGGUGGUAAAUUUCAUCUAAAGCUAAAUAUUGGCGAGAGACCGAUAGCGAACAAGUACCGUGAGGGAAAGAUGAAAAGAACUUUGAAAAGAGAGUUAAACAGUACGUGAAAUUGUCAAAAGGGAAGCGUUUGACACCAGUGUUGUUUUCUCGAAAAUCAAUUAAAAAUGGCUCGAUUUUGUAUUGCUGAGACCUUAAAAGCUCACUGUACAUUUUUCGUGUCUUUUUUAAUGCACUUUUCGUUUAACAAGUCAACAUCAGUUUCUUUUGUUGUAAAAGGGUCAUUGGAAGGUGGCUUUCUUUUCGGAGAAAGUGUUUAUAGCCUUUGGCCUCUGCAAUCGGAGAGACUGAGGUCUGCAGCGUAGACUCUUCGGGGUUAGAUACAUUUGUGCUAAGUUAUAGCUUUUUAUAGACAACUUGUUGACUAUAAUUAGUCUUGUAGCUUACUCGCUUAUGCUAUUUUACCUACGCUUAGGAUGUUGAAGAUGUAGCACAUCAU
rnacentral:rRNA from 1 species